rnacentral:sRNA from 1 species
UCGUAGUCCACAAAUGCUAAGCAAAGCGG